UUAUUCAUAUACUAAUGUCAGCCCCGACACGUCGGGGGGUUUCUUGAUAUAUAAAAGAAGUUUACAACCCAUAGGGCAUUCUUCCUUCACGCGGCAUGGCUGCAUCAGACUUUCGUCCAUUGUGCAAUAUUCC
rnacentral:rRNA from 1 species